rnacentral:rRNA from 1 species
UACGUAGGGGGCUAGCGUUGUCCGGAAUCAUUGGGCGUAAAGCGCGUGUAGGGGCCCGGUAAGUUCGCUGUGAAAGUCGGGGGCUCAACCCUCGGAUGCCGGUGGAUACUGUCGGGCUAGAGUACGGAAGAGGCGAGUGGAAUUCCUGGUGUAGCGGUGAAAUGCGCAGAUAUCAGGAGGAACACCGGUGGCGAAGGCGGCCAACUGGACCAUUACUGACGCUGAGGCGCGAAAGCGUGGGGAGCAAACAGG